GCACAAUGGGCGCAAGCCUGAUGCAGCCAUGCCGCGUGUGUGAAGAAGGCCUUCGGGUUGUAAAGCACUUUCAGUCGUGAGGAAGGUGGUAGUGUUAAUAGCACUAUCAUUUGACGUUAGCGACAGAAGAAGCACCGGCUAACUCCGUGCCAGCAGCCGCGGUAAUACGGAGGGUGCGAGCGUUAAUCGGAAUUACUGGGCGUAAAGCGCAUGCAGGUGGUCUGUUAAGUCAGAUGUGAAAGCCCGGGGCUCAACCUCGGAAUAGCAUUUGAAACUGGCAGACUAGAGUACUGUAGAGGGGGUAGAAUUUCAGGUGUAGCGGUGAAAUGCGUAGAGAUCUGAAGGAAUACCGGUGGCGAAGGCGGCCCCCUGGACAGAUACUGACACUCAGAUGCGAAAGCGUGGGGAGCAAACAGGAUUAGAUACCCUGGUAG
rnacentral:rRNA from 1 species